AGAAGAUUGCCCCUGGCCUGAAAAAUAAAACGAAUAGAGCACUAUAAGACUAUAGGUGUGCCUCUACCCGGCCUUCGCCUACAAGCUCCCCAGUCCUCUCCAUUGUAGAACCUCUGAUACUAGAGGAGCAAGUUCAGGCUGAUGUAUGUCACGCAUAUCAGUUGCUAAGCAAAUGUGGGCUGAAGGAGGAAAACAUAGUGGUGUUUAUGUACAAUGAUAUUGCCACACACACAUUGAAUCUCAGGCCCAGGAUCAUCAUCAAUCAUCCACAAGGUGAUGAUGUAUAUGCUGGAAUGCCUAAGAUACCUUUAACAUGUUAACACUACUGAAUGUUUUAAGUCCUCAUAGUAGAGAUGGGUUUCUAGAACCAGAAAACUAAACCCAAUACAGGACAGAUAGCUUAUAAUUCA